rnacentral:tRNA from 1 species
GGUCCUGUAGCUCACUUGGAUAGAGCGGUUGCCUCCUAAGCAACAGGUAGUGCGUUCGAAUCGCAUCAGGAUCA